rnacentral:rRNA from 1 species
CCUACGGGAGGCAGCAGUGAGGAAUAUUGGUCAAUGGGCGCGAGCCUGAACCAGCCAAGUAGCGUGAAGGAUGACUGCCCUACGGGGUGUAAACUUCUUUUAUAAAGGAAUAAAGUGAGGCACGUGUGCCUUUUUGUAUGUACUUUAUGAAUAAGGAUCGGCUAACUCCGUGCCAGCAGCCGCGGUAAUACGGAGGACCCGAGCUUUAUCCGGAUUUAUUGGGUUUAAAGGGAGCGUAGAUGGGUUGUUAAGUCAGUUGUGAAAGUUUGCGGCUCAACCGUAAAAUUGCAAUUGAUACUGGCAGUCUUGAGUCCAGUUGAGGUAGGCUGAAUUCGUGGUGUAGCGGUGAAAUGCUUAGAUAUCACGAAGAACCCCGAUUGCGAAGGCAGCUUACUAAACUGUGACUGACAUUGAUGCUCGAAAGUGUGGGUAUCAAACAGGAUUAGCUCCCCCAGUAGUC